rnacentral:rRNA from 1 species
AGUGAACGCUGGCGGUAGGCCUAACACAUGCAAGUCGAACGGCAGCACAGGAGAGCUUGCUCUCUGGGUGGCGAGUGGCGGACGGGUGAGGAAUACAUCGGAAUCUACCUUGUCGUGGGGGAUAACGUAGGGAAACUUACGCUAAUACCGCAUACGACCUUCGGGUGAAAGUGGGGGACCGCAAGGCCUCACGCGAUUAGAUGAGCCGAUGUCGGAUUAGCUAGUUGGCGGGGUAAAAGCCCACCAAGGCGACGAUCCGUAGCUGGUCUGAGAGGAUGCUCAGCCACACUGGAACUGAGACACGGUCCAGACUCCUACGGGAGGCAGCAGUGGGGAAUAUUGGAGAAUGGGCGCAAGCCUGAUCCAGCCAUACCGCGUGGGUGAAGAAGGCCUUCGGGUUGUAAAGCCCUUUUGUUGGGAAAGAAAUCUUGCCGGUUAAUACCUGGCGAGGAUGACGGUACCCAAAGAAUAAGCACCGGCUAACUUCGUGCCAGCAGCCGCAGUAAGAC